GGGAGCAGAAUCAGGGCGCCUCCACCAUGGCCUGGACCCCCCUCCUCCUCAGCCUCCUGGCUCACUGCACAGGUUCUGUGGCCUCCUAUGUGCUGACACAGCCGCCAUCCGUGAAUGUGGCCCUGAGGCAGCCGGCCCGCAUCACUUGUGGGGGAGACAGCAUCGGAAGUAAAAGUGUUCAAUGGUACCAGCAGAAGCCGGGCCAGGCCCCCGUGCUGAUUAUCUAUGGUGAUAGCAGCAGGCCGACAGGGAUCCCUGAGCGAUUCUCUGGAGCCAACUCGGGGAACACGGCCACCCUGACCAUCAGCGGGGCCCUGGCCGAGGACGAGGCUGACUAUUACUGCCAGGUGUGGGACAGCAAUGCUGAUGCUCACAGUGACACAGGCCGAUGGGGAAGGUCUAUGGCCUCCUAUGUGCUGACUCAGCCGCCAUCAGUGACUGUGAACCUGGGACAGACCAGCAGCAUCACCUGUGGUGGAGAUAGCAUUGGAGGGAGAACUGUUUACUGGUACCAGCAGAAGCCAGGCCAGCGCCCCCUGCUGAAUAUCUAUUAUGAUGGCAAUGGGCCCUCAGGGAUCCCUGCCUGA